rnacentral:rRNA from 1 species
AGCGAACGCUGGCGGCAGGCUUAACACAUGCAAGUCGAGCGGGCACUUUCGGGUGUCAGCGGCGGACGGGUGAGUAACGCGUGGGAACGUGCCCUCUGGUUCGGAAUAACUCAGGGAAACUUGAGCUAAUACCGGAUACGCCCUUUUGGGGAAAGGCUUGCUGCCGGAGGAUCGGCCCGCGUCUGAUUGGCUAGUUGGUGAGGUAACGGCUCACCAAGGCGACGAUCAGUAGCUGGUCUGAGAGGAUGAUCAGCCACACUGGGACUGAGACACGGCCCAGACUCCUACGGGAGGCAGCAGUGGGGAAUAUUGGACAAUGGGCACAAGCCUGAUCCAGCCAUGCCGCGUGAGUGAUGAAGGCCUUAGGGUUGUAAAGCUCUUUUAUCCGGGACGAUAAUGACGGUACCGGAGGAAUAAGCCCCGGCUAACUUCGUG